AAAUUUGUAUUAAAUACUUUUUUUUUAUUUAAUUUGUAUAAUUGAUAUUGGAGCAAUCUCAUAAUCUAUCCAAAUUAAAUAAUGCUUGAAACAAAGUUUUUAAAUCAUUUAUGUACGCUGGGCAGUAGCUGGAAAAAUGUGAGUCCGGGUAUUUAUUUCCUCUGGUAGUGCCUCCAGAAUUUUAACUUUCCAUGGUGUUAGAUGCGGCAACAGUGCGUUCAGCCAGUCCGCUAGGACAGUCAGGAGACAGAGCACUCCGAGGGAAAAUUACAACCUGAGUUAGUAGUGCGGCUACACUCCACUGCCUACGAUGCACUGUCGGCUAUCUCCGGCACGGUUUUGUCAUGGCUCUCUUGCCUGAAGUUUAUUCGAGAGUCUUUUUGAGCGAUCUACUAUAAUCAAUAAAAAGCUUCAAACCUUGGCUUUCCCUUAGUUUCGCAUUUGGUGGAUUAAUAUUCUUCUUUUUGUUUUACAGAGAUUUAGAUACAAUUUUAAGAUUUAAUAUUAUCAACAAAUUGCUUAAAAUCUUACACCGCUAAACCAGAAAAAUAUGCAAGUAUGCUUGAAUAGCGAGUCCAAAAUAUGUUAAAUGCACACAUGGCAACGCUUGGGUACCCUUAACAACGAUAGCGAGUUUGUGCCGACGUUGUUUCUAUGUGUUGUCCAGUCUAUAUGUUGUUUGGUUAGUGGUAUUAUGCACAGCUAUAUUAGACUCUUUUAACCAAUUUUUAGUGGUUCAGGGUAUAAAAAUGUUAAACUAAUGGGUUAGUACUUAUUUCUUGGCCUAUGGCCUAUAUUUAUUUGAAAUGAAACUGUAAACGGUAAAUAUUAGGACCGAAGUGCAAGCAACUUAAUCCAUUGCAUGCCUUAAAAAGCAUAGACGUGUGCCAUUUAGUCCUAAAGGUUAAUUUGGACUAAAGGUUUUCAUGGCCACACUACUUUAAUGAAACACCAUUGCGGGGUCGUCGAUUCUGGGUUCCUGGGAUGUACUGCCCCAUCUCUUUCUCAUUUCGAUGGUAGCGAGAAUUUUCACCUUCGCUUCUGUGCCACACAACCCGGGAAGUGAGUUUCCAGCAGUUUGCCCUCAUUUGCUACCAUCUGGCUUCUUAAGUGUACAUAUCCCUUUUGAACAAUAUCUGUCAAUUGCCUUUUGAUUCUUCCACAGUGGUUCUUCUUAGAUCUUUGUUAUAGAUGUUAUAGAAUGUUGUAGUGUUAUUCCACCAGGGGAUAUAUCGAUUGACCGUCCGGAUCUUUUGUGUGCACCUUUAAUGGGUGCUUCGUUUAAUAAAGCACAUUAGUGUCAUACUCCGAUUCGAUCACUCAAAUUUGUUGCUUGAAUUUUGGGCAAAGUGAUUCCAGUGGAAAAUUGAUUUCAUAUAUAUACAAGGGCUGUAUAAGCGACUCGUUUAUUUAAUAUAAGCGCCUUUUCGGCGACGGAGCUCGCCACACUGUGCUGCAGUCUUUUUACCCAAGCAAAGUUCAAAUAUUAAUUUCUGGUUUCUUAGCAGGCCCAUGGCGAUUGUAACAGCCUCUGCUCUCUGUAGAGAACUCGUUAAUCUAACAGUCGAAAGGUCUUCUUGUCCUUUUCAGACGCUGGGCAGUAGCUGGCAAAAAUGUGAGUCCGGGUAUUUAUUUCCUCUGGUAGUGCCUCCAGAAUUUUAACUUUCCAUGGUGUUAGAUGCGGCAACAGUGCGUUCAGCCAGUCCGCUGGGACAGUCAGGAGAAAUAGCACUACGAGGGAAAAUUACAACCUGAGUUAGUGGUGCGGCUACACUCCACUGACGACGAUGCACUGUCGGCUACCUCCGGCACGGUUUUGUCAUGGCUCUCUUGCCUGAAGGUUAUUCGAGAGUCUUUUUGAGCGAUCUACUAUAAUCAAUAAAAAGCUUCAAACCUUGGCUCUCCCAUAGUUUCGCAUUUGGUGGAUUAAUAUUCUUCUUUUUGUUUUACAGAGAUUUAGGUACAAUUUUCAGAUUUAAUAUUAUCAACAAAUUGCUUAAAAUCUUUCACCGCUAAUCCAGAAAAUUGCUUUUGCAUUCCCAAUAGGAUGGUCUUGGGCUUGUCCUGCUUUAGUUUUGCAGUGAUGGAAGCGAAUCCGAAGCAAACAUGGAGAAAGAACCCCAACAGCCGUAUUUUAGUUGUUAUUCAUUUAUUAACCUUGGCUACAAGUUGUUGCAUUAAAAUUUUAUGCGUCUCGGCGUAGCGUUUAUUGUUGCGGGCGAUUACUUCUAAUCUGUGCUAAAGUCAGCCUACAUUGUGGUGGCUCCCUGCUUUCUUUGAGCUCUGCUAGAAAUCGAUUCUGUAUUCGUUUUCUAUACUUUCCCUCUUAUCGCGGGAGAUUGGCUCUCUUUUUUGCCUAUAUCCAGAACACUAAUAUGAAUUAUAUGUUAGGCUGCGGUAAUGAUCUCCUCACGCUGAUAAAAAAUGCUAGGCUUCAGUAACAACAUAUCAGUUGCAAAUAAAAGAAUUUGAAUCCCAAACAACCCAAAAAGCGGUCAUGACCGAUGGAUAUGAGGUGUUUCCUUAGCAAAUGCAGCAAUCUAAUAAUCUAUGCUGAGGCAUUUCUACCCUUUUGAAGGCACGAGUAAUAUGAAAUAGAGAAAGGGUUUGCCACGUCGAUACGAAUUUCUUGCAUUUUAGCUCGCUAUCGUUGGAAAGGGUACAAAAUGUGCAAGUAUGCGUAAAUAGGGAGUCCAAAAUAUGUUAAAUGCACACAUGGCAACGCUUGGGUACCCUUACCAACGAUAGCGAGCUUGUGCCAACGUUGUUUCUAUGUGUUGUCCAGACUAUAUGUUGUUUGGUUAGUGGUAUUAUGUAUAGCUAUAUUAGACUCUUUUAACCAAUUUUUUAUGGUUCAGGGUAUAAAAAAGUUAAACUAAUGGGUUAGUACUUAUAUCUUGGCCUAUGGCCUAUAUUUAUUUGAAAUGAAACUGUAAACGGUAAAUAUUAGGACCGAAGUGGAAACAACUUAAUCCAUUGCAUGCCUUAAAAAGCAUAGACGUGUGCCAUUUAGUCCUAAAGGUUAAUUUGGGCUAAAGGUUUUCAUGGCCACACUACUUUAAUGAAACACCAUUGCGGGGUCGUCGAUUCUGGGUUCCUGGGAUGUACUGCUCCAUCUCUUUCUCAUUUCGAUGGUAGUGAGAAUUUUCACCUUCGCUUCUGUGCCACACAGCCCGGGAAGUGAGUUUCCAGCAGUUUGCCCUCAUUUGCUACCAUCUGGCUUCUUAAGUGUACAUAUCCCUUUUGAGCAAUAUUUGUCAAUUGCCUUUUGAUUCUUCCACAGUGGUUCUUCUUAGAUCUUUGUUAUAGAGGUUAUAGAAUGUUGUAGUAUUAUUCCACCAGGGGAUAUAUCGAUUGACCGUCCGGAUCUUUUGUGUGCACCUUUAAUGGGUGCUUCGUUUAAUAAAGCACAUUAGUGUCAUAAUCCGAUUCGAUCACUCAAAUUUGUUGCUUGAAUUUUGAGCAAAGUGAUUCCAGUGGAAAAUUGAUUUCAUAUAUAUACAAGGGCUGUAUAAGCGACUCGUUUCUUUAAACUAAGCGCCUUUUCGGCGACGGAGCUCGCCACACUGUGCUGCAGUCUUUUUUACCCAAGCAAAGUUCAAAUAUUAAUUUCUGGUUUCUUAGCAGGCCCAUGGCGAUUGUAACAGCCUCUGCUCUCUGUAGAGAACUCGUUAAUCUAACAGUCGAAAGGUCUUCUUGUCCUUUUCAGACGCUGGGCAGUAGCUGGCAAAAAUGUGAGUCCGGGUAUUUAUUUCCUCUGGUAGUGCCUCCAGAAUUUUAACUUUCCAUGGUGUUAGAUGCGGCAACUGUGCGUUCAGUCAGUCCGCUAGGACAGUCAGGAGAAAUAGCACUACGAGGGAAAAUUACAACCUGUUAGUUGUGCGGCUACACUCCACUGACGACGAUGCACUGUCGGCUACCCCCGGCACGGUUUUGUCAUGGCUCUCUUGCCUGAAGUUUAUUCGAGAGUCUUUUUGAGCGAUCUACUAUAAUCAAGAAAAAGCUUCAAACCUUGGCUCUCCCAUAGUUUCGAAUUUGGUGGAUUAAUAUUCUUCUUUUUGUUUUACAGAGAUUUAGGUACAAUUUUCAGAUUUAAUAUUAUCAACAAAUUGCUUAAAAUCUUUCACCGCUAAUCCAGAAAAUUGCUAUUGCAUUCCCAAUAGGAUGGUCUUGGGCUUGUCCUGCUUUAGUUUUGCAGUGAUGGAAGCGAAUCCGAAGCAAACAUGGAGAAAGAACCCCAACAGCCGUAUUUUAGUUGUUAUUCAUUUAUUAACCUUGGCUACAAGUUGUUGCAUUAAAAUUUUAUGCGUCUCGGCGUAGCGUUUAUUGUUGCGGGCGAUUACUUCUAAUCUGUGCUAAAGUCAGCCUACAUUGUGGUGGCUCCCUGCUAUCUUUGAGCUCUGCUAGAAAUCGAUUCUGUAUUCGUUUUCUAUACUUUCCCUCUUAUCGCGGGAGAUUGGCUCUCUUUUUUGCCUAUAUCCAGAACACUAAUAUGAAUUAUAUGUUAGGCUGCGGUAAUGAUCUCCUCACGCUGAUAAAAAAUGCUAGGCUUCAGUAACAACAUAUCAGUUGCAAAUAAAAGAAUUUGAAUCCCAAACAACCCAAAAAGCGGUCAUGACCGAUGGAUAUGAGGUGUUUCCUUAGCAAAUGCAGCAAUCUAAUAAUCUAUGCUGAGGCAUUUCUACCCUUUUGAAGGCACGAGUAAUAUGAAAUAGAGAAAGGGUUUGCCACGUCGAUGCGAAAUUCUUGCAUUUUAGCUCGCUAUCGUUGGUAAGGGUACAAGAUACUGCCCCAUCUCUUUCUUAUUUCGAUGGUAGCGAGAAUUUUCACCUUCGCUUCUGUGCCACACAGCCCGGGAAGUGAGUUUCCAGCAGUUUGCCCUCAUUUGCUACCAUCUGGCUUCUUAAGUGUACAUAUCCCUUUUGAGCAAUAUCUGUCAAUUGCCUUUUGAUUCUUCCACAGUGGUUCUUCUUAGAUCAUUGUUAUAGAGGUUAUAGAAUGUUGUAGUGUUAUUCCACCAGGGGAUAUAUCGAUUAACCGUCCGGAUCUUUUGUGUGCACCUUUAAUGGGUGCUUCGUUUAAUAAAGCACAUUAGUGUCAUACUCCGAUUCGAUCACUCAAAUUUAUUGCUUGAAUUUUGGGCAAAGUGAUUCCAGUGGAAAAUUGAUUUCAUAUAUAUGCAAGGGCUGUAUAAGCGACUCGUUUAUUUAAAAUAAGCGCCUUUUCGGCGACGGAGCUCGCCACACUGUGCUGCAGUCUUUUUUACCCAAGCAAAGUUCAAAUAUUAAUUUCUGGUUUCUUAGCAGGCCCAUGGCGAUUGUAACAGCCUCUGCUCUCUGUAGAGAACUCGUUAAUUAACAGUCGAAAGGUCUUCUUGUCCUUUUCAGACGCUGGGCAGUAGCUGGCAAAAAUGUGAGUCCGGGUAUUUAUUUCCUCUGGUAGUGCCUCCAGAAUUUUAACUUUCCAUGGUGUUAGAUGCGGCAACAGUGCGUUCAGCCAGUCCGCUGGGACAGUCAGGAGAAAUAGCACUACGAGGGAAAAUUACAACCUGAGUUAGUGGUGCGGCUACACUCCACUGACGACGAUGCACUGUCGGCUACCUCCGGCACGGCUUUGUCAUGGCUCUCUUGCCUGAAGUUUAUUCGAGGGUCUUUUUGAGCGAUCUACUAUAAUCAAUAAAAUGCAUCAAACCUUGGCUCUCCCUUAGUUUCGCAUUUGGUGGAUUAAUAUUCUUCUUUUUGUUUUACAGAGAUUUAGGUACAAUUUACAGAUUUAAUAUUAUCAACAAAUUGCUUAAAAUCUUUCACCGCUAAUCCAGAAAAUUGCUUUUGCAUUCCCAAUAGGAUGGUCUUGGGCUUGUCCUGCCUUAGUUUUGCAGUGAUGGAAGCGAAUCUGAAGCAAACAUGGAGAAAGAACCCCAACAGCCGUAUUUUAGUUGUUAUUCAUUUAUUAACCUUGGCUACAAGUUGUUGCAUUAAAAUUUUAUGCGUCUCGGCGUAGCGUUUAUUGUUGCGGGCGAUUACUUCUAAUCUGUGCUAAAGUCAGCCUACAUUGUGGUGGCUCCCUGCUUUCUUUGAGCUCUGCUAGAAAUCGAUUCUGUAUUCGUUUUCUAUACUUUCCCUCUUAUCGCGGGAGAUUGGCUCUCUUUUUUGCCUAUAUCCAGAACACUAAUAUGAAUUAUAUGUUAGGCUGCGGUAAUGAUCUCCUCACGCUGAUAAAAAAUGCUAGGCUUCAGUAACAAUAUAUCAGUUGCAAAUAAAGAAUUUGAAUCCCAAACAACCCAAAAAGCGGUCAUGACCGAUGGAUAUGAGGUGUUUCCUUAGCAAAUGCAGCAAUCUAAUAAUCUAUGCUGAGGCAUUUCUACCCUUUUGAAGGCACGAGUAAUAUGAAAUAGAGAAAGGGUUUGCCACGUCGAUACGAAUUUCUUGCAUUUUAGCUCGCUAUCGUUGGAAAGGGUACAAAAUGUGCAAGUAUGCGUAAAUAGGGAGUCCAAAAUAUGUUAAAUGCACACAUGGCAGCGCUUGGGUACCCUUACCAACGAUAGCGAGUUUGUGCCAACGUUGUUUAUUUGUGAUGUCCAGACUAUAUGUUGUUUGGUUAGUGGUAUUAUGCAUAGCUAUAUUAGACUCUUUUAACCAAUUUUUUAUGGUUCAGGGUAUAAAAAAGUUAAACUAAUGGGUUAGUACUUAUAUCUUGGCCUAUGGCCUAUAUUUAUUUGAAAUGAAACUGUAAACGGUAAAUAUUAGGACCGAAGUGGAAACAACUUAAUCCAUUGCAUGCCUUAAAAAGCAUAGACGUGUGCCAUUUAGUCCUAAAGGUUAAUUUGGACUAAAGGUUUUCAUGGCCACACUACUUUAAUGAAACACCAUUGCGGGGUCGUCGAUUCUGGGUUCCUGGGAUGUACUGCUCCAUCUCUUUCUCAUUUCGAUGGUAGCGAGAAUUUUCACCUUCGCUUCUGUGCCACACAGCCCGGGAAGUGAGUUUCCAGCAGUUUGCCCUCAUUUGCUACCAUCUGGCUUCUUAAGUGUACAUAUCCCUUUUGAGCAAUAUUUGUCAAUUGCCUUUUGAUUCUUCCACAGUGGUUCUUCUUAGAUCUUUGUUAUAGAGGUUAUAGAAUGUUGUAGUGUUAUUCCACCAGGGGAUAUAUCGAUUGACCGUCCGGAUCUUUUGUGUGCACCUUUAAUGGAUGCUUCGUUUAAUAAAGCACAUUAGUGUCAUAAUCCGAUUCGAUCACUCAAAUUUGGUGCUUGAAUUUUGAGCAAAGUGAUUCCAGUGGAAAAUUGAUUUCAUAUAUAUACAAGGGCUGUAUAAGCGACUCGUUUAUUGAAUAUAAGCGCCUUUUCGGCGACGGAGCUCGCCACACUGUGCUGCAGUCUUUUUUACCCAAGCAAAGUUCAAAUAUUAAUUUCUGGUUUCUUAGCAGGCCCAUGGCGAUUGUAACAGCCUCUGCUCUCUGUAGAAAACUCGUUAAUUAACAGUCGAAAGGUCUUCUUGUCCUUUUCAGACGCUGGGCAGUAGCUGGCAAAAAUGUGAGUCCGGGUAUUUAUUUCCUCUGGUAGUGUCUCCAGAAUUUUAACUUUCCAUGGUGUUAGAUGCGGCAACAGUGCGUUCAGCCAGUCCGCUGGGACAGUCAGGAGAAAUAGCACUACGAGCGAAAAUUACAACCUGAGUUAGUGGUGCGGCUACACUCCACUGACGACGAUGCACUGUCGGCUACCUCCGGCACGGUUUUGUCAUGGCUCUCUUGCCUGAAGUUUAUUCGAGGGUCUUUUUGAGCGAUCUACUAUAAUCAAUAAAAAGCAUCAAACCUUGGCUCUCCCUUAGUUUCGCAUUUGGUGGAUUAAUAUUCUUCUUUUUGUUUUACAGAGAUUUAGGUACAAUUUUCAGAUUUAAUAUUAUCAACAAAUUGCUUAAAAUCUUUCACCACUAAUCCAGAAAAUUGCUUUUGCAUUCCCAAUAGGAUGGUCUUGGGCUUGUCCUGCCUUAGUUUUGCAGUGAUGGAAGCGAAUCUGAAGCAAACAUGGAGAAAGAACCCCAACAGCCGUAUUUUAGUUGUUAUUCAUUUAUUAACCUUGGCUACCAGUUGUUGCAUUAAAAUUUUAUGCGUCUCGGCGUAGCGUUUAUUAUUGCGGGUGAUUACUUCUAAUCUGUGCUAAAGUCAGCCUACAUUGUGGUGGUUCCCUGCUUUCUUUGAGGCCUGCUCGAAAUCGAUUCUGUAUUUGUUUUCUAUACUUUCCCUCUUAUCGCGGGAGAUUGGCUCUUUUUUGCCUAUAUCCAGAACACUAAUAUGAAUUAUAUGUUAGGCUGCGGUAAUGAUCUCCUCACGCUGACAAAAAAUGCUAGGCUUCAGUAACAACAUAUCAGUUGCAAAUAAAGAAUUUGAAUCCCAAACAACCCAAAAAGCGGUCAUGACCGAUGGAUAUGAGGUGUUUCCUUAGCAAAUGCAGCAAUCUAAUAAUAUAUGCUGAGGCAUUUCUACCCUUUUGAAGGCACGAGUAAUAUGAAAUAGAGAAAGGGUUUGCCACGUCGAUACGAAUUUCUUGCAUUUUAGCUCGCUAUCGUUGGAAAGGGUACAAAAUGUGCAAGUAUGCGUAAAUAGGGAGUCCAAAAUAUGUUAAAUGCACACAUGGCAACGCUUGGGUACCCUUACCAACGAUAGCGAGCUUGUGCCAACGUUGUUUCUAUGUGUUGUCCAGACUAUAUGUUGUUUGGUUAGUGGUAUUAUGCAUAGCUAUAUUAGACUCUUUUAACCAAUUUUUUAUGGUUCAGGGUAUAAAAAAGUUAAACUAAUGGGUUAGUACUUAUAUCUUGGCCUAUGGCCUAUAUUUAUUUGAAAUGAAACUGUAAACGGUAAAUAUUAGGACCGAAGUGGAAACAACUUAAUCCAUUGCAUGCCUUAAAAAGCAUAGACGUGAGCCAUUUAGUCCUAAAGGUUAAUUUGGACUAAAGGUUUUCAUGGCCACACUACUUUAAUGAAACACCAUUGCGGGGUCGUCGAUUCUGGGUUCCUGGGAUGUACUGCUCCAUCUCUUUCUCAUUUCGAUGGUAGCGAGAAUUUUCACCUUCGCUUCUGUGCCACACAGCCCGGGAAGUGAGUUUCCAGCAGUUUGCCCUCAUUUGCUACCAUCUGGCUUCUUAAGUGUACAUAUCCCUUUUGAGCAAUAUUUGUCAAUUGCCUUUUGAUUCUUCCACAGUGGUUCUUCUUAGAUCUUUGUUAUAGAGGUUAUAGAAUGUUGUAGUGUUAUUCCACCAGGGGAUAUAUCGAUUGACCGUCCGGAUCUUUUGUGUGCACCUUUAAUGGGUGCUUCGUUUAAUAAAGCACAUUAGUGUCAUAAUCCGAUUCGAUCACUCAAAUUUGUUGCUUGAAUUUUGAGCAAAGUGAUUCCAGUGGAAAAAAUAUAUUUCAUAUAUAUACAAGGGCUGUAUAAGCGACUCGUUUCUUUAAACUAAGCGCCUUUUCGGCGACGGAGCUCGCCACACUGUGCUGCAGUCUUUUUUACCCAAGCAAAGUUCAAAUAUUAAUUUCUGGUUUCUUAGCAGGCCCAUGGCGAUUGUAACAGCCUCUGUUCUCUGUAGAGAACUUGUUAAUCUAACAGUCGAAAGGUCUUCUUGUCCUUUUCAGACGCUGGGCAGUAGCUGGCAAAAAUGUGAGUCCGGGUAUUUAUUUCCUCUGGUAGUGCCUCCAGAAUUUUAACUUUCCAUGGUGUUAGAUGCGGCAACAGUGCGUUCAGUCAGUCCGCUAGGACAGUCAGGAGAAAUAGCACUACGAGGGAAAAUUACAACCUGAGUUAGUUGUGCGGCUACACUCCACUGACGACGAUGCACUGUCGGCUACCCCCGGCACGGUUUUGUCAUGGCUCUCUUGCCUGAAGUUUAUUCGAGAGUCUUUUUGAGCGAUCUACUAUAAUCAAGAAAAAGCUUCAAACCUUGGCUCUCCCAUAGUUUCGAAUUUGGUGGAUUAAUAUUCUUCUUUUUGUUUUACAGAGAUUUAGGUACAAUUUUCAGACUUAAUAUUAUCAACAAAUUGCUUAAAAUCUUUCACCACUAAUCCAGAAAAUGGCUUUUGCAUUCCCAAUAGGAUGGUCUUGGGCUUGUCCUGCCUUAGUUUUGCAGUGAUGGAAGCGAAUCCGAAGCAAACAUGGAGAAAGAACCCCAACAGCCGUAUUUUAGUUGUUAUUCAUUUAUUAACCUUGGCUACAAGUUGUUGCAUUAAAAUUUUAUGCGUCUCGGCGUAGCGUUUAUUGUUGCGGGCGAUUACUUCUAAUCUGUGCUAAAGUCAGCCUACAUUGUGGUGGCUCCCUGCUUUCUUUGAGCUCUGCUAGAAAUCGAUUCUGUAUUCGUUUUCUAUACUUUCCCUCUUAUCGCGGGAGAUUGGCCCUCUUUUUUGCCUAUAUCCAGAACACUAAUAUGAAUUAUAUGUUAGGCUGCGGUAAUGAUCUCCUCACGCUGAUAAAAAAUGCUAGGCUUCAGUAACAACAUAUCAGUUGCAAAUAAAAGAAUUUGAAUCCCAAACAACCAAAAAAGCGGUCAUGACCGAUGGAUAUGAGGUGUUUCCUUAGCAAAUGCAGCAAUCUAAUAAUCUAUGCUGAGGCAUUUCUACCCUUUUGAAGGCACGAGUAAUAUGAAAUAGAGAAAGGGUUUGCCACGUCGAUGCGAAAUUCUUGCAUUUUAGCUCGCUAUCGUUGGUAAGGGUACAAGAUACCGCCCCAUCUCUUUCUUAUUUCGAUGGUAGCGAGAAUUUUCACCUUCGCUUCUGUGCCACACAGUCCGGGAAGUGAGUUUCCAGCAGUUUGCCCUCAUUUGCUACCAUCUGGCUUCUUAAGUGUACAUAUCCCUUUUGAGCAAUAUCUGUCAAUUGCCUUUUGAUUCUUCCACAGUGGUUCUUCUUAGAUCUUUGUUAUAGAGGUUAUAGAAUGUUGUAGUGUUAUUCCACCAGGGGAUAUAUCGAUUAACCGUCCGGAUCUUUUGUGUGCACCUUUAAUGGGUGCUUCGUUUAAUAAAGCAUAUUAGUGUCAUACUCCGAUUCGAUCACUCAAAUUUGUUGCUUGAAUUUUGGGCAAAGUGAUUCCAGUGGAAAAUUGAUUUCAUAUAUAUACAAGGGCUGUAUAAGCGACUCGUUUAUUUAAUAUAAGCGCCUUUUCGGCGACGGAGCUCGCCGCACUGUGCUGCAGUCUUUUUUACCCAAGCAAAGUUCAAAUAUUAAUUUCUGGUUUCUUAGCAGGCCCAUGGCGAUUGUAACAGCCUCUGCUCUCUGUAGAAAACUCGUUAAUUAACAGUCGAAAGGUCUUCUUGUCCUUUUCAGACGCUGGGCAGUAGCUGGCAAAAAUGUGAGUCCGGGUAUUUAUUUCCUCUGGUAGUGCCUCCAGAAUUUUAACUUUCCAUGGUGUUAGAUGCGGCAACAGUGCGUUCAGCCAGUCCGCUGGGACAGUCAGGAGAAAUAGCACUACGAGGGAAAAUUACAACCUGCGUUAGUGGUGCGGCUACACUCCUCUGACGACGAUGCACUGUCGGCUACCUCCGGCACGGUUUUGUCAUGGCUCUCUUGCCUGAAGUUUAUUCGAGGGUCUUUUUGAGCGAUCUACUAUAAUCAAUAAAAAGCGUCAAACCUUGGCUCUCCCUUAGUUUCGCAUUUGGUGGAUUAAUAUUCUUCUUUUUGUUUUACAGAGAUUUAGGUACAAUUUUCAGAUUUAAUAUUAUCAACAAAUUGCUUAAAAUCUUUCACCGCUAAUCCAGAAAAUUGCUUUUGCAUUCCCAAUAGGAUGGUCUUGGGCUUGUCCUGCCUUAGUUUUGCAGUGAUGGAAGCGAAUCUGAUGCAAACAUGGAGAAAGAACCCCAACAGCCGUAUUUUAGUUGUUAUUCAUUUAUUAACCUUGGCUACCAGUUGUUGCAUUAAAAUUUUAUGCGUCUCGGCGUAGCGUUUAUUAUUGCGGGUGAUUACUUCUAAUCUGUGCUAAAGUCAGCCUACAUUGUGGUGGUUCCCUGCUUUCUUUGAGGCCUGCUCGAAAUCGAUUCUGUAUUUGUUUUCUAUACUUUCCCUCUUAUCGCGGGAGAUUGGCUCUUUUUUGCCUAUAUCCAGAACACUAAUAUGAAUUAUAUGUUAGGCUGCGGUAAUGAUCUCCUCACGCUGAUAAAAAAUGCUAGGCUUCAGUAACAACAUAUCAGUUGCAAAUAAAGAAUUUGAAUCCCAAACAACCCAAAAAGCGGUCAUGACCGAUGGAUAUGAGGUGUUUCCUUAGCAAAUGCAGCAAUCUAAUAAUAUAUGCUGAGGCAUUUCUACCCUUUUGAAGGCACGAGUAAUAUGAAAUAGAGAAAGGGUUUGCCACGUCGAUACGAAUUUCUUGCAUUUUAGCUCGCUAUCGUUGGAAAGGGUACAAAAUGUGCAAGUAUGCGUAAAUAGGGAGUCCAAAAUAUGUUAAAUGCACACAUGGCAACGCUUGGGUACCCUUACCAACGAUAGCGAGCUUGUGCCAACGUUGUUUCUAUGUGUUGUCCAGACUAUAUGUUGUUUGGUUAGUGGUAUUAUGCAUAGCUAUAUUAGACUCUUUUAACCAAUUUUUUAUGGUUCAGGGUAUAAAAAAGUUAAACUAAUGGGUUAGUACUUAUAUCUUGGCCUAUGGCCUAUAUUUAUUUGAAAUGAAACUGUAAACGGUAAAUAUUAGGACCGAAGUGGAAACAACUUAAUCCAUUGCAUGCCUUAAAAAGCAUAGACGUGUGCCAUUUAGUCCUAAAGGUUAAUUUGGGCUAAAGGUUUUCAUGGCCACACUACUUUAAUGAAACACCAUUGCGGGGUCGUCGAUUCUGGGUUCCUGGGAUGUACUGCUCCAUCUCUUUCUCAUUUCGAUGGUAGCGAGAAUUUUCACCUUCGCUUCUGUGCCACACAGCCCGGGAAGUGAGUUUCCAGCAGUUUGCCCUCAUUUGCUACCAUCUGGCUUCUUAAGUGUACAUAUCCCUUUUGAGCAAUAUUUGUCAAUUGCCUUUUGAUUCUUCCACAGUGGUUCUUCUUAGAUCUUUGUUAUAGAGGUUAUAGAAUGUUGUAGUGUUAUUCCACCAGGGGAUAUAUCGAUUGACCGUCCGGAUCUUUUGUGUGCACCUUUAAUGGAUGCUUCGUUUAAUAAAGCACAUUAGUGUCAUAAUCCGAUUCGAUCACUCAAAUUUGUUGCUUGAAUUUUGAGCAAAGUGAUUCCAGUGGAAAAUUGAUUUCAUAUAUAUACAAGGGCUGUAUAAGCGACUCGUUUCUUUAAACUAAGCGCCUUUUCGGCGACGGAGCUCGCCACAUUGUGCUGCACUCUUUUUUACCCAAGCAAAGUUCAAAUAUUAAUUUCUGGUUUCUUAGCAGGCCCAUGGCGAUUGUAACAGCCUCUGCUCUCUGUAGAGAACUCGUUAAUCUAACAGUCGAAAAUUCUUCUUGUCCUUUUCAGACGCUGGGCAGUAGCUGGCAAAAAUGUGAGUCCGGGUAUUUAUUUCCUCUGGUAGUGCCUCCAGAAUUUUAACUUUCCAUGGUGUUAGAUGCGGCAACAGUGCGUUCAGUCAGUCCGCUAGGACAGUCAGGAGAAAUAGCACUACGAGGGAAAAUUACAACCUGAGUUAGUUGUGCGGCUACACUCCACUGACGACGAUGCACUGUCGGCUACCCCCGGCACGGUUUUGUCAUGGCUCUCUUGCCUGAAGUUUAUUCGAGAGUCUUUUUGAGCGAUCUACUAUAAUCAAGAAAAAGCUUCAAACCUUG